rnacentral:lncRNA from 1 species
GUCAGGUCCUGCUGACUUGUGGCUCAGGCAUCCUUGUACAGGUUGAGUAUCCUAUGGAGACUCUAGAGGAGGAGAGUGUGGGCAUGGCCCCUCAGGAAUUCUGGGACCUGGUCCUCCUGGAAAGCAGCCUUCUGGAGGGAGAGGCCCCAAUAUAGGCAUCAGAGCAGAGCCCAGCUCCUCUUCCCAUAGUAUAGCAAUGUUCCAUCCACAGAUGUCGUCCAUCAUCAGCAACCAAGAUGAAGACUUACUGAACUACAUGUUGAGCUUGAGGAUACAGAGCAGAGCAUUUCUGACUGUAGGCCAUUAAUGACCAUACACCACAUGUGGAAUUGACUGAGAUAAAUACUGGCA